UACAGAGGUCUCAAGCGUUGUUCGGAUUCAUUGGGCGUAAAGGGUGCGUAGGCGGCCAACUAAGUCAGACGUGAAAUCCCUCGGCUUAACCGGGGAACUGCGUCUGAUACUGGAUGGCUUGAGAUUGGGAGAGGGAUGCGGAAUUCCAGGUGUAGCGGUGAAAUGCGUAGAUAUCUGGAGGAACACCGGUGGCGAAGGCGGCAUCCUGGACCAACACUGACGCUGAGGAGCGAAAGCCAGGGGAGCAAACGGGG
rnacentral:rRNA from 1 species